GACGGAGGGGGCUAGCGUUGUUCGGAAUGACUGGGCGUAAAGGGCGCGUAGGCGGCUAUUUAAGUGAGGCGUGAAAGCCCUGGGCUUAACCCAGGAGGUGCGUUUCAUACUGGAUGGCUUGAGUACGAGAGAGGAAAGCGGAAUUCCUAGUGUAGAGGUGAAAUUCGUAGAUAUUAGGAAGAACACCAGAGGCGAAGGCGGCUUUCUGGCUCGUAACUGACGCUGAGGCGCGAAAGCGUGGGGAGCAAACAGG
rnacentral:rRNA from 1 species